rnacentral:rRNA from 1 species
GGGAACUUGCCUUUGCGAGGGGGAUAACAGUUGGAAACGACUGCUAAUACCGCAUAAUGUCUUCGGACCAAACGGGGCUUCGGCUCCGGCGCAAAGAGAGGCCCAAGUGAGAUUAGCUAGUUGGUAAGGUAACGGCUUACCAAGGCGACGAUCUCUAGCUGUUCUGAGAGGAAGAUCAGCCACACUGGGACUGAGACACGGCCCAGACUCCUACGGGAGGCAGCAGUGGGGAAUAUUGCACAAUGGGGGAAACCCUGAUGCAGCCAUGCCGCGUGUGUGAAGAAGGCCUUCGGGUUGUAAAGCACUUUCAGUUGUGAGGAAAAGUUAGUAGUUAAUACCUGCUAGCCGUUACGUUAACAACAGAAGAAGCACCGGCUAACUCCGUGCCAGCAGCCGCGGUAAUACGGAGGGUGCGAGCGUUAAUCGGAAUUACUGGGCGUAAAGCGCACGCAGGCGGUUUGUUAAGCUAGAUGUGAAAGCCCCGGGCUCAACCUGGGAUGGUCAUUUAGAACUGGCAGACUAGAGUCUUGGAGAGGGGAGUGGAAUUCCAGGUGUAGCGGUGAAAUGCGUAGAUAUCUGGAGGAACAUCAGUGGCGAAGGCGACUCCCUGGCCAAAGACUGACGCUCAUGUGCGAAAGUGU